UUUAAACGUCCAAACUGUUAUUUAUUUUUAUAUUAUAUAGAAAAUUAUACGAACGAGCUUAACGUCGUUAAGGCUCUUCGGAUUGUUGUUGUGAACAUGUUGAGAGGGUUUUCCACAAAAAACGUUUUUAAAUAGUUGUGUUGCACAUAUUUUGCAUCAAAUAUCAUCAAUAUAUAGACACCCAUUUGAAAAAUUAUUUAAACAAAGUUUUUAAGGUGUAGCUUUUGCUACGUCAAGCAAUAUGAAACUGCCAUAUGUCACUCCAAAUGUGCAGAAACACAAAUUUUAUUUGUAGAUCUACAUAUACGAUGGCAUUUAGUGCAUUUAACUGCCAAAGACUACUAAUGGGCGGAAGAAAAUCAAAGGAAAACCUACUCAAUGAACAACUAAAUGGCAUAAUAAAUGGCGGAGCAGGGAACAGUUUUUGCAGGCUGUAGGGUACGAAGAGACGACCGCCCCAUUAAACCACAAAAUUUAUUACUGCGCCUAAAUCACAGCAAACAACUUCAUCAACAACAGCAGGAAAGUGGCAAGCAGAUGGAGAACGAUGCAUAUGCACAUACAUAUGUACAUAAGUGCUGCCAAUUGAGGAGACACUUACACACAUAUACAUAAAUGUGCUUUGAAUGAGCGCAUUCCUAGUGAUUAAACGAUGAAGUGCAACGGUGGCCAAGCGGCGGUGUAUGUUGGUAGCUGAUCGGGCGUUUGUGCAGUCCAUUAAUUUUCAAGUGCAACACUUUAUUGGCGUAUGGCGCAACUUUAUGUGUGUUGCUGUCGACAGUAAUGAUGAUGAUGACGUUGUCACAUGUGUCACCAAGAGCCAGCGAAGCGAAUAGCCGUACCGCCGAGCCAGCAACGAACUACAAGUUGUAGUUCAACGCGUAGCCAAACGAAUGAACAAACCAAGCGAUCGAGCAACCGAACGGGCGAUUGCAAGCAUCCACGCCGAUCAUUUCGACACUUGAGAUCACAUUAGGGAAAUUUUUGGCAUGUAAAAUGUGACAGCUAAAUAUGCCACUUAUGUAGGCGCAUAUGUAUGUUGAGACACUGCGGCGCUCUGUACAUUAACAUAAAUAAUUGCUGAGUCGCGACAGCAUUGGAAUAUAGAUGCAGAUAAUGUUAAUAAAUAGAGAAGGCGCAAAUGUUUUAUUAACAUUCUCUGAUAGAUGUCUACCGUAGCAGCGGACCCUUUAAAAAGAAUAUCAGAACAUAAUCUGCUGCCAUUAAGAGAACGUGAAUGGAGUUUCAUUGUUUCGCGCUUCGCCGCUGUUAACGAUGCACUUAUUCAAUUAGGAAAAUCAAAGAAAAUUUGCAUGCCUAGCGGUGAACACACAAGACGUCAACUGAAACCCAUCGUGAGAAGCACCGUUCAAAGCGCACGAGAGCUAAUUAAAUUUCGAAAUUUUAUUUAGGGAAUUAUUUCACGAUAAAACACCCAAAAGCAUCGGGUAUGUGCUAUACAAAAAAAACAACAAUUAAGGAAAGAAGACCCGAAGAGUUGAAAGCGAACAACGAAAAAAUGCCAAAUAAAUGGAGACACUUAGUUUGCGGUCGACAGUCAAAAACGUGGCUAAACAAUAAAUGGCGCUAAAAGGUGAUUUGCACGCCUUAUUUAGUCGAAUGAUUUUCUGCGACAAAAUGUAGCGGAAUGUCGCAGGACGCGCAAUACUAGCGGUGGUGAGUGGCAGCACGCGGUGGAGACAACGCACAGGGGGAAUGUGUUGCAACCAGUUUAAACGGAAGCCAUGCCUGUCGCGCACGCGGACGCAAGAAAUUUCAUACUAAUUGGCAUAAAUACCAAGUGACGCACAGUAGCCGAACAGCAAGCAACCAACAACAACAACAGCAACAAUAAUAGUAUUAAGAAGCAAAAGGCGCGGUCGUCAACGAACAACGAGAGACAAGUCAAACAAAGCCAAUAAACAGACAAACAAAAGAAUCAGCAAUAAGAUACAAUAACAAAUGUUGUUGGCGUAAUGGCAAUAGCACCACCAAGGGAAUAGUUUAUGGCGAACAACCACAAGAAAGAAAAAUAAAAAUAAAAAUAAAAUAAUCUGCCGAGGAGCCAGCAGCAGUCAGCGAAAGAAAAGACGAUGAGAUCUUCACCUUGGCAAUCAUUAAUCGUUUUGCCUCGACAUAAUAUUGAUGAGGGCCUAUUGCCUGCUUUGCUUUUGUUGUUUUUGCUCACUUUUUAGCAGCAGCAGCACCUAACGCAUACACGGACUUCCGCGUCACCACCUUCAGCACCGCUUGCCGCUGGACAAAUGCAAGUUUUUGUACGUUGGCCGACUGCGCUGCUCGUCGGCGGAACUUGUUGAUGGAAUGUUCAUCGGACCAAUUGAAAUUGCUGUGACAACAAUAAAAAUGCAACUUUUUUUUUACUAUCAACGGUCGCCCAUCAACUCAGUGGCGAUUGACGAUGAUCGGUUGAUCUAUUGGCCGCUACACAGCACCCCUCGACACUCACUUUGUGGUCACUGGACGUUGGCCGCGCAUGGACAACAAUUAAGUUAAAGCUGAUCAAACGAUUUGUAGCUGUAAAUUCAACGCCAACAUAUGCGCGCACACGCGUUGACUUUCAGCGUUGAUGUAUGCAACCCGCUAACCGCUAGCAUCUAACCGCUAGUCACCAAACGGCUGGCAUCAUCUGUUGCAAUCACUUUUUCUUCAUACAAAUUUCGUUGGGAAUGCGUUGCGUUGCGUUGCUGUUGAUAUUGCUGUUAUUGCUGUUGCUGCUAACUUAUUUGUUGGCUUGUUUGCUGCCAUAUUAUAUUUGGUUGUAAAGGCUUUUUUGCUCUUAUCAGCGCUGACAGUUUUUAUAUCAGUUCUCCCAUGCUACUAUAUUACUAUUAUUCUUGUUGUUGUUAUUGCUGCUGUUGUCGCAAAUGCUCUUGUAAAUAGCUGCAGUCGUCAUCAUCAGCGUCGACAUCUUAGAUGUUUUUGUUGUUGCAGCAUUGUCGCGCAAUAAUCCAAUUAAUCGAACAAUUCACUUUGUACCAAAUACAUGCAGACAUAAGUACAUACUCGUACAUAGGCAGUGGGUAUACUUAGUAUAUGGCUAGGGGCAUGUGUGCAAAAUAUAGAAAUAAAUGACGUAAAUGGGUGCCACGGGAAGGUACAUGGGUUAGAAGCCGUAAACGAGUCGUAUGUGGACAAUGAUGAAUCAAUAAUUUACUUGUAGCGACAAAU